UUGCUUUUUUUGCAAUGCUUGCUGUGAAGCAGUAGUGAAAUGCAGUAUAAUACACAGAUAAAUGUUAAAAACAAUAAUGUUCAGGUUCUGGCUGUUAAUACAUACAGCCUAUAUUAUGGCUCUUAAUCCUGGAGAUGACUGCUGAUGCACUAUUUUCAGUUUUCAGGAAAAUCCUGUUUUCAGAUUGAUUUUGAUUAAGGGUAUUCUGGAGCCAUUUAAAAGGGCAUGGAAGGCGGAACUACCAUUCUGUUCCUCUGUGCAUUACAAUGCACUUUGAUUCCCUUUGUGGAUCUCUCCAUGUGGAUUUGCUGGCAAAUUCCAAGAUGAAGCUGAUGGCGUUAAGGUGCACGAAGCAUUCUCACAAGCAUUAAGGGCCACGGAUGUUGGGAGAAAAUGGAUAUUGGAAAAUGAGAUAAUGCAGAGAAGUGAGGAAGAGAACUGAAAUGGAACAAAAAAAAAAAAGUGAGUAGAUCAAAUAGAUGAAAAGGUGUCUGUAAGUGCCUCGUUCCCAGCAGCUGAGGUGGGUAGCUCCUAAUGGCAACUGACCUUUGGAAGGGGAGUAUCAGGCUGCUUGCAAGCUCUGGUACAGGCUGCUGCCCUGC
rnacentral:lncRNA from 1 species